rfam:Triticum aestivum genome assembly, contig: Triticum_aestivum_CS42_TGACv1_scaffold_404251_5BL
GAUGUACUCCCUCCGUCCAGAAAUACUCGUCGGAGAAAUGGAUGUAUCUAGACGUAUUUUAGUUAUAGAUACAUCCAACUUUAUCCAUCCCUCCAACAAGUAUUUCAGGACGGAGGGAGUACACA